GGAGAGUUUGAUCCUGGCUCAGGAUUAACGCUGGCGGCGUGCCUGACACAUGCAAGUCGAACGGGUGUUAGUUGCCCGCAAGGGUGACUAACGCUAGUGGCGGACGGGUGAGUAACACGUGGGCAACCUGCCUGAGAGUGCAGAAUAACCCUGCGAAAGCAGAGCUAAUACUGCAUGUGGUUGUCGGAUGGCAUCAUCUGACAACUAAAGUCGCAAGACGCUCUCAGAUGGGCCCGCGGCCUAUUAGCUAGUUGGUGAGGUAACGGCCCACCAAGGCGGUGAUGGGUAGCUGGUCUGAGAGGACGGACAGCCACACUGGGACUGAGACACGGCCCAGACUCCUACGGGAGGCAGCAGUGAGGAAUUUUCCGCAAUGGGCGAAAGCCUGACGGAGCAACGCCGCGUGAGGGAUGAAGUCUCUAGGGAUG
rnacentral:rRNA from 1 species